ensembl:piRNA 21ur-6324 ncRNA
UCAGAAAUUUGGUAAAAUUAA